UGGUCAUAUUGCAUUGAAACACCGGUUCUCAUUCCAUCACCAAAGUUAAGCAACAUCAAGCCUGGUUAGUACCUACAUAGGUGAUGACUUGGGAAUACCAUGUGCU